AAAAAAUUAUGGCGGUAUUUUAAGCUUUUCAGAGGAAUUUGCUCUUUAAUGGAUAAAACACCUAAAUCUUACUUAAAUUUGUUAAUUCAAUUUGUAUACCACUAUAAAAACAAUUUAUAACUUUAAUUGUUUAAAUUUAUUAAAUUAAAAUAUAUUAAGUCAAGGUGCAGUAAAAAUUUAAGAAUGAAGUGAAUUACAUUACUCUUUAGAGAAAUAAAUUUAAAAUAAUAUUUAGGAUUUGAAAGUAAAAUUAAAAUAGAAUGUAAUUUUGAAUUAGCUCU
rnacentral:rRNA from 1 species